rnacentral:sRNA from 1 species
CCCAGGGUUGAAACCCUGGGCUAUUAAGCUGCCGCCCCUACAGGGCU